CCUACGGGAGGCAGCAGUGAGGAAUAUUGGUCAAUGGCCGGAAGGCUGAACCAGCCAAGCCGCGUGAAGGACGAAGGUGCCAAGCAUUGUAAACUUCUUUUGUCAAGGGACAAAAUCAGGCUCGAGAGCCUGACCGAGGGUACUUGAAGAAAAAGCAUCGGCUAACUCCGUGCCAGCAGCCGCGGUAAUACGGAGGUGGCAAGCGUUGUCCGGAUUUACUGGGUGUAAAGGGCGUGUAGCUGGGUUGACAAGUCAGAUGUGAAAUCCUGCGGCUUAACCGCAGAACUGCAUUUGAAACUGUUGAUCUUGAGUACUGGAGAGGCAGACGGAAUUCCUAGUGUAGCGGUGAAAUGCGUAGAUAUUAGGAGGAACACCAGUGGCGAAGGCGGUCUGCUGGACAGCAACUGACGGUGAGGCGCGAAAGCGUGGGGAGCAAACAGGAUUAGAUACCCCUGUAGUC
rnacentral:rRNA from 1 species